GCACUUAUUAUUUAGAACGAGGUAAGUCUACCUGAGAGUAGAUACUGAUCGGAAACGUAUUUCAUUGGCUAAUGAAUGCGGUCGAAUAAUGGGUGUAGAAUACUCGAGCGGCGGACGGCUGAGUAACGCGUAGGAACGUACCCCGAAGUGAGGAAUAACUGCCCGAAAGGGUGGCUAAUGCCGCAUGUGAUCUACGGAUUAAAGCUUUUAGCGCUUUGGGAACGGCCUGCGUAUGAUUAGCUAGUUGGUGAGGUAAUGGCUCACCAAGGCGAUGAUCAUUAGCUGGUCUGAGAGGAUGAUCAGCCAGACUGGGACUGAGAACGGCCCAGACUCCUACGGGAGGCAGCAGUAGGGAAUUUUCCACAAUGGGGGCAACCCUGAUGGAGCAACGCCGCGUGCAGGAUGAAUGCCUUCGGGUUGUAAACUGCUUUUAUUAGUGACGAUUAUGACGGUAACUAAUGAAUAAGGACCUGCUAACUACGUGCCAGCAGCCGCGGUCAUACGUAGGGUCCAAGCGUUAUCCGGAAUUACUGGGCGUAAAGAGUUGCGUAGGUGGCUAGGUAAGUAGAUAGUGAAAGCGUGUGGCUCAACCAUACAUCCAUUAUCUAAACUGUCUGGCUAGAGGAUGAGAGAGGUAGAUGGAAUUUCUGAUGUAGGGGUAAUAUCCGUAGAUAUCAGAAGGAACACCGAUGGCGUAAGCAGUCUACUGGCUCAUUCCUGACACUAAGGCACGAAAGCGUGGGGAGCAAACAGGAUUAGAUACCCUGGUAGUCCACGCCGUAAACUAUGGAUGCUAGCUGUAAGAGGUAUCGACCCCUCUUGUAGCGAAGCUAACGCGUUAAGCAUCCCGCCUGUGGAGUACGAGCGCAAGCUUAAAACAUAAAGGAAUUGACGGGGACCCGCACAAGCGGUGGAGCGUGUUGUUUAAUUCGAUGGUAAGCGAAGAACCUUACCCAGGUUUGACAUCCCGAGAAGGUUUCCGAAAGGAAAUUGUGCCGUAAGGAACUCGGUGACAGGUGAUGCAUGGCCGUCUUCAGCUCGUGUCGUGAGAUGUUAGGUUAAGUCCUUCAACGAGCGCAACCCUUAUAGUUAGUUGUAUUUUUCUAGCUAGACUGCCCUGGUAACAGGGAGGAAGGGGGGGAUGAUGUCAGGUCAGUAUUUCCCUUACAUCUGGGGCUACAAACACGCUACAAUGGCCGGUACAAAGGGCAGCCAAGUCGCAAGACGGAGCAAACCCCACCAAAGCCG
rnacentral:rRNA from 1 species